GACGAACGCUGGCGGCGUGCUUAACACAUGCAAGUCGAGCGGUAAGGCCCUUUCGGGGGUACACGAGCGGCGAACGGGUGAGUAACACGUGGGUGACCUGCCCUUAGCUCUGGGAUAAGCCUGGGAAACUGGGUCUAAUACCGGAUAUGACUCCAUGACGCAUGUUGUGGGGUGGAAAGCCUUGUGCGGCUAGGGAUGGGCCUGCGGCCUAUCAGCUUGUUGGUGGGGUGAUGGCCUACCAAGGCGACGACGGGUAGCCGGCCUGAGAGGGCGACCGGCCACACUGGGACUGAGACACGGCCCAGACUCCUACGGGAGGCAGCAGUGGGGAAUCUUGCGCAAUGGGCGAAAGCCUGACGCAGCGACGCCGCGUGGGGAUGACGGCCUCGGUUGUAA
rnacentral:rRNA from 1 species